CCGAUCUUAGCUCAGUUGGAAGUAGCGCAAGACUGUAAUGGUUAUCAAAACAAUCAUCUUGAGGUCGCCUGUUCGAACCAGGCAGAUCGGA